CUAAGCCAGCAGAUUCCAAUUAAAAAAAUAACUUGGCACUCUGGGAGGCCGAGGCAGGAGGAUCGUUUGAGCCCAGGAGUUCAAGACCAGCCUGGGCAACGUAGCGAGACCCCAUCCCUACAAAAUGAAAUAAAAUAAAAUGAGAAUUGAAAAAACAAACAAACUUGGUGUGAUGAGAACUUACAGAAUUUAAAAGGGUUAUCUCAGCAUUACCUUCAACACUCUCUCAACUUUUGACCACACACACAAAGUUCUGGGUUCUACAGCUAGAGAAGAGGGAGGGCAGGUUAAAAAAAAUUAUUCAAGGUGGAAGAUUAGUCUGAGAAACAAAGAGGUAAGAGGAGAGGACUGAGGCCAGCUGGUCUCCAUCCCUGAGCUCCGGCAGGAAGAGCCCCCAAGUGAGAACAAGUUGCUGUUCGCGGACAGUGGACUCCAGAGGGGGUGGACAGAGACCAUGAGGAAUGUCAUCCCUGGGGGGCUCUGAAAACAGGAUCUUUUCCCAUCUCAACUCUGCUUUUCACUGCAUUGUGUUCCUAUUAACCUACCCAAGCUACUACAAACACUCCACAAAUGUCACUGGGGACUUCCUGUUCUCUUCUAAAGAUGGAAACACGGAAUAUAAAUGACCAAAUUGUGCAAAAGUGUGUGGGUGGGGGAUCAAGGACUGAAUUUUUAAAAUGCACACAGCUCAUCUAAUUUGUGAACUAACUCCAAAUCAAAUUACACCUCACACUUUGUACAGGGCAGGAAGCGUCUCCUCAAAGCCUGGUUAGGACCUGGGAUGCUGGAAAUCUGAGACUCUGCCUUCCCCUCCUGAGAAACUCUGAAACCCGGCUUAGAAAUUGAGCACAAUGGCUCUGGCCUCCCAGAGAAAGACACGGAUUCGCAAAGGCAAAGAGCUGCAUUUUUCUCCGAGCUGGAGCUCUUUCCGCUUUCCACGAUGGGGCUUCAACAAAACUGCAGCUUUACACUUCCCCUCUCGGUGUUUUCUCCUUGGGGACUGACAAGGUGGAAGGGCCAACAAGAACCCUGUGUGCUCCUUUGCAGGACCUGGAAGGGACAGGUGGUGUGAGUCUGUCUCCAUCCAGCCGCCUCUUUCAUUCAUUCAGGGGCCCGAGGUGCCCCCAAGGCAGGGGGCGGGGGUCCCCACUUUUACUGCCGGCCAAGGUUCCUCCAGCUUUUCUCUCGCCAAACCCUUUCAAGCAAACCUCUCCUCUAUUGUGGAGGAAGGAAUCUCAAGCAGUUUUGCCUUUGUGCCAGCACGGUUUCAAUUGCCCCCAGUCGGUAAAGUCAAAUUUGGACAAGGUCCAAGGGCUCCUCACACCACCCGCCCCUUUCAGGAAGAGGCCCUCCUCUGUUCUUUCAUUUGCAACCCGCCACCUCCCUAGCCUGGAUUUUUUCGCCCAGGCUCCGAGGCCUAUUGAGACAUCAAUCUUGGGCCAGAGCAAACUCCAACCUGCAAACCGUCGCCAUUCACUUCCUAAAGAGCCACUCUCAGAACUUAGGCUGCAGGGAGGGCAGGCCAAGGAUGAAUCCUCUGACUUCUGGCCCUGCCCCAGGAGUCCUCCUGCUCAGGAGCCUGGGAGUUGAGGAGGUCUGGAAGCAGUGGGCCCACAGGGCCAUCGCCUUGGGAACCCACAGUGCCUUGGAUGUGGCUCCCUCGGUCCUGGCUUUGCAGGCAGCCUACCUGGACUGCACCCACCUCCCAGAAGAGCUGCUCAGAAUCCUGCAUGUCCAAAAGAAAGACCAAUCAAAGAAGUGAGGAAGCCAAAGAGAGGCCUUAUGAAAGCUUAUGACACAUUUUCCAAGUGCACACCCCAGCAUCUUCACAUGCUUUCUGAAACUCUCCCCAGGAAAAAGCAGUGUGUGUGGACUGCUACCUGGUCACACCUCGAGACAGCCACUUUCAUCCUCUCUGGAACCCCGCCUGGGGGGAUGCUGCACAGGGCAUCCAAGCAACCCCUGAACUCAGGAUAGAGACACCAGGAAGCAGCAGGGGGGCUGUGACCCCGCAGGCCUGCUCCAUGGCUCCUGCUGCCUGCACCAUGGCAUGAAGCUCAGAUGCACCUCUGGACUUGGGGUUCUGACCAGACGGAGCCACCAAUCCUCUGAAGAAUGAAACACACAGGGGUCACCCUUGCCUCCCAGCUGCAGGGAAGGACGAGCACCCAGCCCUUCCUUUCCCCAAAUCGUCUCCAGGCUUCUGUGCGUGGCUCUGCUGACCUUCCUCUUGUCUCUGGCUAUUCUCUCAGCCUCUGCUGGCUCCUCCUCUGCCCUCACCCACGGAGUCAGUCCUGGUGCCUUGAGGGCCCCUCUCCCUAGCUGACUUCACCCAGCCCCUGAGCAUUCAAUGCCAACAAUGCCACCUUCUUUGUCCAGCUUCACACUCGAGUGCCAGCCUGACUCACAGACGUGUCCCUGGGCCCACUGUGCCAGGCCCUCUGCUGGGUCCUGGGUAUCCGCAGCCACUGCCACUGUCAAGCCCCGACAUCUGAAGGCAUCUUGAACCCAAUGACCGUGCCCCAGGCUGAACUCUGAAGCUCCCAUCCCACCUGCCUCCCACCCCAUCCCCCAUCUAAGUGAACGGCCUCUCCAGCCAACAGCUAUUGCAGCUAGAUCUCCAGGGGCCGGGCCUGGGCCCUCCAUUUCCAUUACUCCAAAUCCACUCAUCCAUCCCAAACUCCCAUCAAUGUUAACCCAACACAUCUCACAGCCACCUGCAAUCUAAGCCACCACCAUUAGCUGCCCCUGUCCCAAUCCCUCCUCCUCAAAGCACCAGGGGACCUGUGUAAAACUUAUUCAUCUGAUCAUUUCCCUCCAUGAAGCCGUGACUGGUUUCCAUUGCACCUGGGAUAAACCAGAUUCCUGUGGCUCCAGAAUCCUGUCCUACCACUGACAUGCUGUGUGACCCUGAGCAAGUAACUUAACCACUCUGCGCCUCAAUGUUCUUACAUGUGAAAUGAGAUAAUAUCUGUCUCAUAAGAAUGCUGGGGAUCAAAUGAGAUAUUUAUGAAGCACAUGGUGUUGUGCCUGAUCAGUAAAUGCUUUUUUUUUUUUUUUGAGACGGAGUCUCGCUCUGUCGCCCAGGCUGGAGUGCAGUGGCGUAAUCUUGGCUCACUGCAAGCUCCGCCUCCCGGGUUCACGCCAUUCUCCUGCCUCAGCCUCUCCGAGUAGCUGGGACUACAGGCGCCCGCCACCACGCCCGGCUAAUUUUUUUGUAUUUUUAGUAGAGACAGGGUUUCACCGUGGUCUCGAUCUCCUGACUUCGUGAUCCUCCCGCCUCGGCCUCCCAAAGUGCUGGAAUUACAAGCGUGAGCCACCGCGCCCGGCCUCUGAUCAGUAAAUGCUUGAAGUCUUUGUUAACAAAACACACGCCCCUAACCUACUCUUCAGCUUCCAUCCACACACAGCCUCCCUGGCUGCCUUUCAGCUCUUCCAAUGAGGCUACCCACAGAGGUCCUCUCUGCCAGGACCAUCCUUUCCCCAUGCUGCUCCUACAACUCCUACCUGUUUUCCCGGGAUAGCUCAUCUAACACUGGGUCCCUCAGUUCUUACACACGUGGCCCUCCGACUGCUGUCUGGGGUCUGUCGUAUUCACUGCCCACAAAACCUUACAUGUCCAAAGCACCCAGUAAGACGCUGUGAAUGAAUGAGUGGCCAGCCUGCUGCCCUUUCGUCCGGCUCCUCCUCUCCCCCAGACCAGCAUGGGCGCAGCCACGGCUCCCGUCUACCCCGGUAACACCGCUCCCUCUGUGCCGGACGCGCUGGCCAGAGUCCUUUCCCACGGCGUCCCCGUGGCUUUGGUGUGUGGCCGCCUGUGAAUGAGAGACUCAUGAUUUCCGGCUUCCACCGUCCUUCUGGAGCCACAAAGCAUUAAAGCGGAAGGAUGGAUGGGCUUCCUGGGACAGCCAGGGUGGGAGGCCGGCUCAGGACACUUUGUUCGGGAAAUGGUCAGUGUGGGAUGAGGCGCCUGGUGGGGAGGGGAGUGGGGCAGAGACUUGGGGCCUGGCUGUUCUGCAGCCAGGGACCCUAAUCGCCACCCCCUUCCCCACCUACUCCCCAACCCCAGUGCUGGGCUCAGGGCCCCUGGGGUCUCUCCCAGGAACACAGAAGACACAGUAAGGACCAGGGACACAGGACAGGCAGAGCCCGUGGGCAGGAGGCCUCCAGCCAGAACACCUGAGCCUAUGCCUGGCUCCAACCAGACAGACACUGAGACCUUGGCCAGGCCACUCCCCAUGCUGAGGCAGGGGGGCCCCUUAGAGGCCACUGGUCACCAAGCACCGCGUGGAAGACAUGCCACGGAGAGCUAGCAUCUUCUGAGACACCAGCAGAAGGUCAGACGUCUCGCGGCCCAAGGAUGACUUUGUCCCAGCAUCUAUCCAUCUGCCAUCCUGCAUGAAAAGCCUGACGUGACACGGCUGGCCCCAACGAAGAGUGAUUCGGGAACCAGCAGAGCGGAUUUAGUAACUGGCAAACUGGAUUUAGUAACUGAGACACUUCCAGGGGCUUGGUAGAAGUCCCCUAAUGUACCAGACCCAGCCCUGACCGCCCCAGAGCUCAGCCGAGCACUAAAAGGUACAGAGGUCGAGCUGAGCAUCAGAGGAACACUGACCCCAGGGCUGACCGGUGCUCCGCACUCUACAGUUUACAAACGGCUCACAUUUACUCGAUCGCAUCUGACCCUCUCCUGCGAGGCCUUCCUCAGAUUCUCCGCUUCCUAAAGUAAUCAGUUGUGCCUUUUGAAAUCAGAGCAAAGUAAUAAAACUGCAGUAAUAGCGUGUUCUUAUGAA